rnacentral:rRNA from 1 species
UAUUGAAUAAACCUGAUGAGUUGUUGCUGGUCUUCCGAGAGCAUUGUGCACACUUGUCAUCUUUAUAUUUCCCCCCYGUGCAUCUUUUGUAGGUCUGGGUAAUCUCUCUGAGUGUUAACUCACUUAGGUUUUGGGUUUGACUUUUCUGUCUUUCCUUGCAUUUCCAGGACUAUGUUUCUAUCUAUAUACUCUAUGUAUGUUGUAGAAUGUCAUGAAAUGGCCUUGGUGCCUAUAAACAUUUACAACUUUCAGCAAUGGAUCUCUUGGCUCUCGCAUCGAUGAAGAACGCAGCGAAAUGCGAUAAGUAAUGUGAAUUGCAGAAUUCAGUGAAUSAUCGAAUCUUUGAACGCACCUUGCGCUCCUUGGUAUUCCGAGGAGCAUGCCUGUUUGAGUGUCAUUAAUAUAUAUAUCAACCUCAAAAGCUGAGUGUUGGAUGGUGGGGGUUAUUUUUUUUUGCUGGUCUUUUCUUCUAUAAGAUCAGCUCCCCUGAAAUAUAUUAGCGAAACAGUUUGUGGAACGUUUAUUGGUGUGAUAACUAUCUACGCUUAUUAACGUGAAGCAAAAGUUUAGCUUCUAAUAGUCCAUUGACUUGGACAAUUAUUUUAAUGUGACCUCAAAUCAGGUAGGACUACCCGCUGAACUUAAGCAUAUCAAUAAGCGGAGGAAAAGAANNCUAACCAGGAUUCCCCUAGUAACUGCGAGUGAAGCGGGAAAAGCGCAAAUUUAAAAUCUGGCAGUCUUUGAU